rnacentral:rRNA from 1 species
UAACCUGCCCAAGAGAUCGGGAUAACACCUGGAAACAGAUGCUAAUACCGGAUAACAACAGAUGAUGCCUAUCAACUGUUUAAAAGAUGGUUAUGCUAUCACUCUUGGAUGGACCUGCGGUGCAUUAGCUAGUUGGUAGGGUAACGGCCUACCAAGGCGAUGAUGCAUAGCCGAGUUGAGAGACUGAUCGGCCACAUUGGGACUGAGACACGGCCCAAACUCCUACGGGAGGCAGCAGCC